UACAGAGGGUGCAAGCGUUGUUCGGAAUCACUGGGCGUAAAGGGCGCGUAGGCGGCCCUCCUUGUCGCGUGUGAAAGCCCCGGGCUCAACCUGGGAACGGCGCGCGAGACGGGGGGGCUGGAGUUCGGGAGAGGAGCGUGGAAUUCCCAGUGUAGAGGUGAAAUUCGUAGAUAUUGGGAAGAACACCGGUGGCGAAGGCGGCGCUCUGGACCGAGACUGACGCUGAGGCGCGAAAGCGUGGGGAGCAAACAGG
rnacentral:rRNA from 1 species